UGUGCCUUUUAUUUUUAUUUUUUUCUUCAUAACUCAUGCUCUCAUUCAAGGACAUUUUUUCAAACUUUCUCUCUUUCUCCGAGCAUACUUUUCUUCUUCUUUUUUCCCCCACAUUAUAGUUGAGAAGGGUCCAAAAAAAAGUGACCAAAGACCCAGACUAUUUUAACUCUUCUUCUCCACUCUUCUCCCUCACCCAACAAUACCCAUUUUAUCCUCACUUUUCUUCUCCUGCUUUCCCUCAUUACGGUUGAGGAAGCAGUCCAAAACAACACCAAACACACCCCUGUCUCUCCCCUUUUCUUGUGCUGCUACAGUAUCACCCAAACCAUCGUUGUUCUCCUUUCUUCUUCGCCACUCUGGCGAAACCAGCAGCCUCCGACGGAGAAACAACUACAACCAACAAACCUCCCGAAUCCGGUAAAGCCCUGCAAAUAAGAAUCCGGCGAAACUCCGUUACUCUCCUUUCACUGUGGUUGAUUUGGAUUGGUUUCUAGGUUAUGUGUUGCUUAGUGGUGUUGGUUGGUGUUAUGCCCUUGUUUAAUUGGCUCUUGUAAGACUUCUUUAUUGCGAGUAGGUUGUUGGACUUGCGCUUUCAGUACGUUCCUUGACUCUGAUUUCUCUUCUCCUGUCGGUCUAUGCCUAUCGAGUACCAUUCAUUUGGUACUCAUACUACACUUCUGCACACUGCAGAUCAUAGCAUGGGUCGUCGUCGUUGAUUUGGAUUUCGUGUAGAGCAGCUUUGAAUUCAGAGAUUUGGUGAGCUAUUGGCGUUCAAAAUUGUCUAUUUCCAUCUACUUGGGCUAGAACUAGUCUUUACAUUGCUUUAAAAGACAGUUUGUACUUAUAUUUGUAUUCGUAAAAGCCUUGUACUUUUAUUUUGAUUAGAUGCUUGAAUACUGACUGAUGCCAGGUGUUGGGGAUAGUUCUUUAUAUAUAUUUAUGUUGGUUUCUCUUU